rnacentral:lncRNA from 1 species
ACUCGGUUUUGUUUGUCAUUGUAUAAAAAAAAAGAUAUGGAUCAUAAAAAAAACUAUUGACAUAACUUGCUCAGUUCCAAACUAUCUAGACCAAAACUUAUAAAACCUAGAUUGAAACCAUUUAGAAUAGAAUAUGUGCAACAUAGAUUAGAACCAUCUAGACGAAAACUUGUACAAAGUAGAUUGCCUGAAACAAGACUUGUCUAUUUCAAAUAUCUAAGAUCCUUCUAAUCCACAACAAUAUAAAAUCUCAUCACAAGGUAGAAAAAAAUGGAUAAGAAUAAGAAUAAACAAAAUUAAAUAAAAUGGAAUAUAGAAGACAAAACUAAGUAACCAAAAUUAAAAUAAAACAAAAAAAUACAAGAAGAUUGAAAAUCUAAUUGUAUUAAGAAAAAAGGUCCAAAGCCAUACCUGACCAGAUAGU